GUGGGAAUAUGCAGCAAUGGCAGCCAGCUGAUGCAGCCAUGCCGCGUGUAUGAAGAAGGCCUUCGGGUUGUAAAGUACUUUCAGCGAGGAGGAAGGCGUUGUGGUUAAUAACCGCAACGAUUGACGUUACUCGCAGAAGAAGCACCGGCUAACUCCGUGCCAGCAGCCGCGGUAAUACGGAGGGUGCAAGCGUUAAUCGGAAUUACUGGGCGUAAAGCGCACGCAGGCGGUCUGUCAAGUCGGAUGUGAAAUCCCCGGGCUCAACCUGGGAACUGCAUUCGAAACUGGCAGGCUAGAGUCUUGUAGAGGGGGGUAGAAUUCCAGGUGUAGCGGUGAAAUGCGUAGAGAUCUGGAGGAAUACCGGUGGCGAAGGCGGCCCCCUGGACAAAGACUGACGCUCAGGUGCGAAAGCGUGGGGAGCAAACA
rnacentral:rRNA from 1 species